UACGUAGGGGGCAAGCGUUAUCCAGAUUUACUGGGCGUAAAGCGCGUGUAGGCGGCUGGUUAGGUGUGAUGUGAAAUCUUCCGGCUCAACCGGAAAACUGCAUUGCAAACCGGCCUGGCUAGAGUGCAGGAGAGGGAAGCGGAAUUCCAGGUGUAGCGGUGAAAUGCGUAGAUAUCGGGAGGAACACCAGUGGCGAAGGCGACUACCUGGCCUGUUCUUGACGCUGAGGCGCGAAAGCUAGGGGAGCAAACGGG
rnacentral:rRNA from 1 species